rnacentral:rRNA from 1 species
AGUGAACGCUGGCGGUAGGCCUAACACAUGCAAGUCGAACGGCAGCACAGUAAGAGCUUGCUCUUACGGGUGGCGAGUGGCGGACGGGUGAGGAAUACAUCGGAAUCUACUUUUUCGUGGGGGAUAACGUAGGGAAACUUACGCUAAUACCGCAUACGACCUACGGGUGAAAGCAGGGGAUCUUCGGACCUUACGCGAUUGAAUGAGCCGAUGUCGGAUUAUCUAGUUGGCGGGGUAAAGGCCCACCAAGGCGACGAUCCGUAGCUGGUCUGAGAGGAUGAUCAGCCACACUGGAACUGAGACACGGUCCAGACUCCUACGGGAGGCAGCAGUGGGGAAUAUUGGACAAUGGGCGCAAGCCUGAUCCAGCCAUACCGCGUGGGUGAAGAAGGCCUUCGGGUUGUAAAGCCCUUUUGUUGGGAAAGAAAAGCAGCAGGUUAAUACCCCGCUGUUCUGACGGUACCCAAAGAAUAAGCACCGGCUAACUUCGUG